rnacentral:rRNA from 1 species
GAUGAACGCUCGCGGGAGGCCUAACACAUGCAAGCCGAGCGGUAUUGUUUCUUCGGAAAUGCGAGAGCGGCGUACGGGUGCGUAACACGUGUGCAACCUGCCUUUAUCUGGGGGAUAGCCUUUCGAAAGGAAGAUUAAUACUCCAUAAUAUAUUGAACGGCAUCGUUUAAUAUUGAAAGCUCCGGCGGAUAGAGAUGGGCACGCGCAAGAUUAGCUAGUUGGUGAGGUAACGGCUCACCAAGGCGAUGAUCUUUAGGGGGCCUGAGAGGGUGAUCCCCCACACUGGUACUGAGACACGGACCAGACUCCUACGGGAGGCAGCAGUGAGGAAUAGUGGUCAAUGGGUGCAAGCCUGAACCAGCCAUCCCGCGUGAAGGACGACUGCCCUAUGGGUUGUAAACUUCUUUUGUAUAGGGAGAAACCUACCCUCGAGAGGGUAGCUGAAGGUACUAUACGAAUAAGCACCGGCUAACUCCGUG